rfam:Schistosoma curassoni strain Dakar, Senegal genome assembly, scaffold: SCTD_scaffold0010441
GCACUGCUGAGGAGUUCCACAAUAGGACGAAACGGCAGUCCAGUGC